UACGAAGGGGGCUAGCGUUGCUCGGAAUCACUGGGCGUAAAGCGCACGUAGGCGGCUUUCUAAGUCAGGGGUGAAAUCCUGGAGCUCAACUCCAGAACUGCCUUUGAUACUGGAGAGCUUGAGUCCGAAAGAGGUGAGUGGAACUCCGAGUGUAGAGGUGAAAUUCGUAGAUAUUCGGAAGAACACCAGUGGCGAAGGCGGCUCACUGGUCCGGUACUGACGCUGAGGUGCGAAAGCGUGGGGAGCAAACAGG
rnacentral:rRNA from 1 species